UACAGAGGUCUCAAGCGUUGUUCGGAUUCAUUGGGCGUAAAGGGCGCGUAGGCGGCCACCGCAAGUCGACUGUGAAAUCUCCGGGCUUAACCCGGAAAGGUCAGCCGAUACUGCGGGGCUAGAGUGCAGAAGGGGCAACUGGAAUUCUCGGUGUAGCGGUGAAAUGCGUAGAUAUCGAGAGGAACACCGGUGGCGAAGGCGGCAUCCUGGACCGGCAUUGACGCUGAGGAGCGAAAGCCAGGGGAGGCAAACACGGG
rnacentral:rRNA from 1 species